CUGUCUCUUCGAGGAAGAGAAUGUUGAGCUGCUACAUGCUGCUAGAGGAAUUAAUACUUUGCUCUUCAUUACCAGAGAGGAAAAGACACGUGCCAAUAAAGGGACGUCGGAUCCCGAGUCCAGAGGAAGCCACGCGGUGUCGUCUCUCCCUCUCCCGCACCCACACACCACACACAACAAAAAAAAUACACAACGCAGAGUGAGAGCAUCAGCUCUCGGACUUUAACCGGGACUAUGUUUUAACUGGACUCGCUUGGCGCGAUCGGGCUGUAAACAAAGACCCAAACGAGACCGGUUACAUUUUCUGCCUCAA